UUGACCGUUGUUCAGUGAUUUAAUCAUGUAUCACUCUUUGUACCUCUUAACAGACUUGUGGUAAGGCACACAUCAGGUGCGGCACACAUCAUGACAUACUUUAGAGUGUACAACUAAGGCAUAGGGGAUGACCUUCGUCCUUUCUCUUUCUUCUGCCGUGGUCGGGCUUUGAUUCUUUACUCAAAUUCACACCUUACAACAUAGCCAAGAACUCCUUCUUUGAUGAUCUAUUUUGAACUCCUUCAAAAACUUGUCAAGGCAUGCAUUUCAUUUGAAAGUUCUGUUUAGCAUUUUGAUAUAUCUCCAUAGAUCUUGAUGCUCAUUGUUCAAGUAGCUCUUUGCAGGUCUUCCUUCGAAAAACCC
rnacentral:lncRNA from 1 species